CGUGGAUCAGUGACGCUGGUGAGGAGCAGGACCCGAGUCACAGCAGAACAGAGGCAGCUCCUGACCAGUAUUUUUGAAGUCCCUUCCUGUAAAGCACAGGUUCAUAACAAAUCCAUCUUUGAAAUGAGGGUGCCUAUCCACCCGGGAGAAUUCAGGCGUGGAGAAUUUACAUGGACGCUAGUGAACAUUAAUAGCUUCCUCACAGAGCCUAAGUUAAAGCUGGUGCAUCACCUACGGACACAACAGGCAGAAGGAAUGAAUGG